CACGAAACCCACGAAAAUUGGUAUACCACGAAUAAAAAUGAAUCCACAGUAUUAAGAUAUUAAUGGGGAUGUGUAAUCAUGGUAGGAAAAGUAAAAUGUGGGUGGAAUGGAAAAAAAAUCAUGUAAAUAAAUAUUAUCUGAAGUAAUAUAUUACAUUUAAGAGUGGAGUUAAUAUGAGGGGCUAGUUUUUCAUAGUACAGAAAUUAAGUAAAUAUAAGGAAAUUAUUAAGUGACAGGAUUACAAGGUUACAUAAAAUCAAAUGUGUAAGGUUUGAAUAGACCUGAUGGAAUAGUUUAUUGUGUAGAUGCCACACACAAGUUAUUUUAUUAAAAGGUGGAUGCUAUAUAAAGUGAGAAGUCAUGAGCAUGAUUUGAUUAGGGUUUUGAUGAAUUCAUUACAUUUUGUUAGAAAGAAAUGUGAUCAUGUUUAUUCCUAGCAUCAGACAAUCUUGUCAAAGAUAAAAAAAAAUUAAAUUUGAUUGUACAAGAGAUUAUGAGUGACUUGUGACCAGUAGACAUUGAUUUGGGGUCCUAGCAGUGAUCAAUUUAAAGUAAGAAAAUCAGUCUUUUGACUCUGAUGUAAGUCUUUCAUUCAAAUUUUAUAUAUGAUUGUUAUCUAAAAUUAGUGCUUAUUUAUAUAUUUAUUUGUUCACACUAUUGUAAAUGUGUUCUUUUUCUAAUCUUUAAGAAAUGCUGUUGAUUUUUUAUUAUGGGAAC
rnacentral:lncRNA from 1 species